ACACAUGUAUGUAGAACGCUGAGAGAGGAGCUUGCUCUUCUUGGAUGAGUUGCGAACGGGUGAGUAACGCGUAGGUAACCUGCCUUGUAGCGGGGGAUAACUAUUGGAAACGAUAGCUAAUACCGCAUAACAAUGGAUGACACAUGUCAUUUAUUUGAAAGGGGCAAUUGCUCCACUACAAGAUGGACCUGCGUUGUAUUAGCUAGUAGGUGAGGUAAUGGCUCACCUAGGCGACGAUACAUAGCCGACCUGAGAGGGUGAUCGGCCACACUGGGACUGAGACACGGCCCAGACUCCUACGGGAGGCAGCAGUAGGGAAUCUUCGGCAAUGGGGGCAACCCUGACCGAGCAACGCCGCGUGAGUGAAGAAGGUUUUCGGAUCGUAAAGCUCUGUUGUAAGUCAAGAACGGGUGUGAGAGUGGAAAGUCACACUGUGACGGUAGCUUAC
rnacentral:rRNA from 1 species